rnacentral:rRNA from 1 species
GGAGCAUGUGGCUUAAUUUGACUCAACGCGGGAAAUCUUACCGGGUCCGGACACACUGAGGAUUGACAGGCAAUAUCUCAUGUUAACGGUAAGUUUACUUACCGCUUAACAUCGAGUGUUAAAUAUGCUAGUCCUUUCAUGAUUAUGUGAUAGGUGGUGCAUGGCCGUUCUUAGUUCGUGGAGUGAUCUGUCUGCUUAAUUGCGUUUCACUAAGGGCCCAUAAAUUCAAGGUAUGUUAGCUCUCGUCGCUCUAUGGACCCCUUAACUCCAAUAUUCUUAUUGUGUUAAGCGCGUGUCUUUAUUUUAAGAGUUUUAAGACACUGCGCAUGCUGUUGGGCUCUGAAAGCAACGAACGUGACCGCAACGUCUUGUUGCCUUAAACUAGCGUAUAUUGCAAUUUAUUGUAAUAUCGCUUACAGAGGCUAUUUAAAACUAGACGGACCGCUGUUUCUUUCUUAAACCAGAGGAAGGUUGCGGCAAUAACAGGU